ACUGUGCAUGAUGUUUGUGUCCUCUUCACUGGCAUAGGCCUGAGCAGACAUCAGUGUAGGAUGCUUCCCAUCGCCCUGAGGCUCCCAGGCUUCCUGCCAGUGUGCUCUCCUUUUAGUCUGUGUUGCGUCAAAGCACGUCCUUUGCAGCAAGAUCUACACCCCACGGCGUAGCCGGCUAAGAGGGAUUAACUUACCCAUCAAUGAACAGCUGGAGGGACUUUAAAUGGCCAUUGAGAAGGAGGCAAGGACCAGACCAUUUUCAGAUUCUGUCAUAGUGGUGCCACAGCUGUGGUGUGUUUUUCAUCACUGCAAAUCAAAAUCAGACAUUUUUCAAGAUCAAAGACCCUCCAUUGAGGAUUAAGCUAUAUGGGAAGAAACUGCAAAAUAUUAGCUGGCAUGCAAUAUCAUACCACAGCGAUGGGAGGAAGGCAGGGUGUGCCAGUGAAGAAAGCAUGCCAGCGCACGACUAGAGGAGUUUACAUCAGAACCGAAAUCGUCAAUAUGAACCAUGUGUUCCACUCUCAAGGAGCUCCUUGUCUUGAACACAACAUCUUAAUGAGCUCCAUGCUCGGCGGAUGGUGGUUUUCCACAUGGCUGAACGGCCCACAGACACACUAAGUCUCAUCUAUUUAGCGGUCACGCCGUUGACUUCCAGGCCACGUUUUAAUGAAAGUCACGUGCUGAUAGGUGACAGUCCACAGAUACUGCUGCCAGGCCCCAAUGGUGACCGCAGAAUUGUUUAUCUGGCCACAGGUGUGUCUUAUCAGUUAUUCAAACUGUAUAAUAGCUAAAAUAUUCAGUUGAAUUAAGCCUAAUUUUGCCCUCCAGUUGGAGAAAUUCUUGAAUAGACUUCUACAAAACUGACAUUUUAUGGCAUUUUCACUAAAAUUAAACCACAAAGGAUCUUGAAUAAAGCCAAAUAAUCAGCAGACAAAAAUUAUAUAUGUGUGUGUGCGUGUGUAAUAUAUAUAUAUAUAUAUAUAUAUAUAUAUAGCAAAAACAUUUGUAAAUUGAAUGCAACCAAAUGUGUGUGUAAAUAUUUGAUCAAAAAAAUUGACAAUUUUCAGUUGCCUUUUAUUAUUCUGCAGGUAAUUUUAUUUGUACAAAUAGUACAUCCAUUAAAAUGUGACUACAUAGACUGUGGUUUGAGACAUUUUGCACAUACAUGUAGUAUUUAUAUCAGAAGUAAUAAAUAAAAAAUAUACAAGUAAAUACUAAAGGAAGCCAGGCUAGCUAGUCAUUACAAGAGAUGAAUCUCAGUAACUAUGAGGUUUUGGUUCAAACUACAAUUACACAAAUUGAGUGUUUUCUCUAGCAGUGGUUUUGUAUGUUGGUCAGAUAAGAUUCAACUUUAUAAUUAAGGUAGACUUUAACUGAAAGGUGGGUAUUUUUGCUCAGGACAAGUGAGUUUUCUUUUUAAUUCAAGGGUGACGCUAU